AAUGAUGGUGACCUAAACCCUCACCAGAGUAGCAAUUGGAGGGCAAGUCUGGUGCCAGCAGCCGCGGUAAUUCCAGCUCCAAUAGCGUAUAUUAAACUUGUUGCAGUUAAAAAGCUCGUAGUUGUAUUUCUGCGUCUCCGUUUUUGACUUUUGUCUUUUUCGGUUUCGCUUUUGGGUUUCUUCCCUUUUUACUUUGAGAAAAUUAGAGUGUUUCAAGCAGACUUUUGUCUUGAAUACUUCAGCAUGGAAUAAUAAAGUAGGACUUUGGUUCUAUUUUGUUGGUUUACGAACCUUAGUAAUGGUUAAUAGGAACGGUUGGGGGCAUUCGUAUUUAACUGUCAGAGGUGAAAUUCUUAGAUUUGUUAAAGACGAACUACUGCGAAAGCAUUUGCCAAGGACGUUUCCAUUAAUCAAGAACGAAAGUUAGGGGAUCGAAGACGAUCAGAUACCGUCGUAGUCC
rnacentral:rRNA from 1 species